GACGAACGCUGGCGGCGUGCCUAAUACAUGCAAGUCGAACGCUGAAGGAGGAGCUUGCUUCUCCGGAUGAGUUGCGAACGGGUGAGUAACGCGUAGGUAACCUGCCUGGUAGCGGGGGAUAACUAUUGGAAACGAUAGCUAAUACCGCAUAAGAGUAGAUGUCGCAUGACAUUUGCUUAAAAGGUGCAACUGCACCACUACCAGAUGGACCUGCGUUGUAUUAGCUAGUUGGUGAGGUAACGGCUCACCAAGGCAACGAUACAUAGCCGACCUGAGAGGGUGAUCGGCCACACUGGGACGGAGACACGGCCCAGACUCCUACGGGAGGCAGCAGUAGGGAAUCUUCGGCAAUGGACGGAAGUCUGACCGAGCAACGCCGCGUGAGUGAAGAAGGUUUUCGGAUCGUAAAGCUCUGUUGUAAGAGAAGAACGAGUGUGAGAGUGGAAAGUUCACACUGUGACGGUAGCUUACCAGAAAGGGACGGCUAACUACGUG
rnacentral:rRNA from 1 species